CCUACGGGUGACAGCAGUGGGGAAUAUUGGGCAAUGGGCGCAAGCCUGACCCAGCAACGCCGCGUGAAGGAAGAAGGCUUUCGGGUUGUAAACUUCUUUUCUCAGGGACGAAGAAAGUGACGGUACCUGAGGAAUAAGCCACGGCUAACUACGUGCCAGCAGCCGCGGUAAUACGUAGGUGGCAAGCGUUAUCCGGAUUUACUGGGUGUAAAGGGCGGGUAGGCGGGAAAGCAAGUCAGAUGUGAAAACCAUGGGCUCAACCUGUGGCCUGCAUUUGAAACUGUUUUUCUUGAGUACUGGAGAGGCAGACGGAAUUCCUCGUGUAGCGGUGAAAUGCGUAGAUAUGAGGAGGAACACCAGUGGCGAAGGCGGUCUGCUGGACAGCAACUGACGCUGAGGCGCGAAAGCGUGGGGAGCAAACAGGAUUAGAUACCCCAGUAGUC
rnacentral:rRNA from 1 species